rnacentral:rRNA from 1 species
CAAUAGCGUAUAUUAAAGUUGUUGCAGUUAGAACGCUCGUAGUCGGAUUUCGGGGCGGGCCGACCGGUCUGCCGAUGGGUACGCACUGGUCGGCGCGUCCUUCCUUCCGGAGACCGUGCCUACUCUUAACUGAGCGGGGGCGGGAGACGGAUCGUUUACUUUGAAAAAAUCAGAGUGUUUCAAGCAGGCAGCUCGCUCUUGCAUGGAUUAGCAUGGGAUAAUGAAAUAGGACUUUGGUGCUAUUUUGUUGGUUUCGAACACCGAAGUAAUGAUAAAUAGGGACAGUCAGGGGCACUCGUAUUCCGCCGAGAGAGGUGAAAUUCUCAGACCAGCGGAAGACGAACCACUGCGAAAGCAUUUGCCAGGGAUGUUUNCACUGA